AGACAUUGGAAUGGGCUGCCCAAUGUGAUGGUGGAGUCACCAUCCCUGGAGGUGUUUAAGGAAAGACUGGACCUGGCGCUCAGGUGGUGUUAACACAGUGGUGUUGGGUCAUAGAUUGGACUCAGAGGAUGAUUUCAGAGGUUCUUUUCCAGUGUAAUUGAUUCUGUGAUUCUGUAAUAGUGUUAAUAUGGGUAUUACGUUUGAAAAUACUCUCCACUGUUUCUCCUAUAUUUCUGGCAAAGAAAAAAAGCUGACUUAUAUCAGCAGCAGCCCUCCUGCAUUGAUAUCACCAAAUUCCUCUGAGGUACAGUCUUUUUUUUUUUUAGGAAAUGAGAAGGGUAGUUUGAGAGCUGGUUGCUUUGGUGGAUCAGUCACAUCCCUCCUUUUAGUGCAGGUACAGGACCCUCUGAACAUUACUAAUCCUGCAAAGGAUACCUAGUUGUGGUCCCACUCAGCUUCUUGACUCAGCUUUUGGCAUAACAGAGGGCGUGGGACUGUGUCAGACUCGAUUUAAAGUGAUGUAAGCUGUUGUCAAGCUACUUUCAAAAUUGCUAAUUUUCAGGCAGCUAAGUUCCCUGGUCCAGUUCACGUUGAGGAACCUGGAACACUAGUUAAAAGCUCAAGGCUACUGAAGUAUAACUAAUGGAUGUGAACAGUUUUCCCUCUCAUCUCUCAAAAUGCCUCUUCAUAUGUUAAGAAUUAGGCCUCCCCUAAAUUUUUUUACCCACAGACAAAGUGUUUUCAGUUCAUUUCAAUCAUUCAUUGUGUGACACAGUUUUAAACCUCUUAAAGUGCUUAUUUCUUGGCUCUGUGUUGUCUCAAAAUCAUUCACAUCUUUUUUUGAACUGUAGCACCCAAGACUGGACACUGCUACAGUUGAGGCCUCAACAUCUGCUGUCCUGCUUCUCACAGACCACAUUCCUGUGUACAUGUGCCAAUACAAAUACUUUGGAGUCAGUCUGAUCUAUCCACAAUCUUGCUGACCUGUCUUACCCCCGCAUCCAUUUCUGCUGACCUACCAAGCCAGUUAUUUCUCCCUCAAGUAGACAGUAAUGCUACUUGAGAAAUUACUUCCUGCAGCAGCCCUAAUGCUAUGCCCUCAUUUUUAUUGCUGGAUAAUCAAGCAGUCAAAACACAUUUUGAAAUAAAAUUCCACAUGAUGUUAAGUCAGAAAACUGUAGAAUUUGUCAUCCUUUGUAAAUUGACUGCAUUUCUCGCAAGAAUUGUAUUUGAAAAAGCAAAACUUAGAUUGAACUGUGCCACGGUUACAGAAAGGUUGUGUAACUAAAUUUAGAAGAGAGAUUUGUACAUAUUUGUAAAUAUUUUAAACUUUAAAUUCACUUAAACUAAAGCAGCUAAAAUAAUGUAACUGUAAGCAAGGAUUGAUAACAAAGAAUGUAGGUCAAGGAGAGGGUGGUGUUAUACCAAUAAAAGGUAAAAUAUGAUAGAAACAGUGUAGCUUCCCAUCAGUGAGGGACAAAACAUGUUUUGCUGUUAUAUAUACUUAAUUCUGUUAGUUGUGUUUGUCAGUGACAUACUUUCAUUCUCAGUUUUGGUCACUGUCCUGUGUGCUGCCUUUGAUCUGAACAGUGCAAUGAGCAGCUCAGAAAGUUAUUGCCAGCAUACUCUGCAGAAGGGAAGUUCUAGCACAGCCUGAUGGCUACACUGGCACUUUAGGUGCAGUUGAGCAAGUCAUUUUACAUGAUUGUACUUCAGUCUUCCCAGUAUGAGAAGAAAUCCAUCUUUGUAAAACACUAAAAAUCUAAAAUUGAAGCCUGUGAUGUAGGUAUCUAUUAAAAUAAGUGCCAUAGAAGGGAUAAAAACCAACACUGCUGUCCAAGUCCUGUGCACACAGAGGUUUUUACUCCUCAUUCUGCCUUUGUGUAACAGCUAUCGAAUUAGUUCUUCAGUACAGCUGAACAAGCUGGUAAAUAAUGCAUUCAGCUAGUUUAUUUCUUAGAUGGUCAUCAUGUGGUAUGUUUGGUCCAUUUUGAUUGUGUAAAGCAUUUUUAUGAUGUGUUUUAUAUCAGGUGAUGUUUGGAUGGUAACAAUUCAAGACAAAUACAGGCUUUAUCAGUGAAUAAACAGAAAUCUUACCUUUUCUGUUUCGCUUGGCCAUCAGAUUUUGCAGAGUAGGCUUCCCACUUAUUUCCAGAUCGCUUUCUUUUUCCUCCUUUAAUCUGUGAAGUCCUCAUCUGUGAGAAGAUUUAAGAGCAUGAUAUAAGAUAUGAAUGUAAAACUGCUGGUAUUUUGAAGGGGCACUUGUCCUUCUCCUAUUCUGUGUUUAGGCUGCAUUUUGUAAAAAUUGUUACUUUAAAAAAAAUGGAUAAGUGAAUUCCAAGCAGAGAUGGAGAAGAACUAAGUACUACAGGUGUUUUACAUAGAUGUGUAUCUGUAUAUGUUUAUAUAUGUGUUUGUAUAAACACCAAUUUGCAAGAAUAAAAAUUGACUUUCAUCAGAUAAAGUUCACAUGACCAACAUCUCCCAUACAAGUGUGUGGGCAUAUAUAUGAAAAUAUAGGCACAGUCAGUACCUGCAGCCCUUCCUGGAGAUUUACAAGCAAUAAUAAGUUCUUUUGAUCAGUGUUUCUCCACUGCUGUCAAAGGUACAAGACAAGCCUAUCCUUUUCAUAAGUGGCAUUGCCUUACUCCCCUACAAAAGGGCUUUUUAAAAAAUGGCAGGAGAGGAAUUUUCAGGGCUAGCUCCUUGCCAGUUCGGCACUGUGCUUUUUAGCACCCAGUCAGAACAGCAGUCAAGAGUCCUCCAAAACAGAGAUUUUUUGUACCAGUGACUCAGAUUUGUGCCACUUCACGUUAUUUUGUGUGGUUGAAGUUCCACUAUAGACCAUCUGUUAUGGCCACCCAGGCAGGAGUACGGAGCUCUCAUCCACAUUGGCAUUCUGCUCUCUACAUAGCAGCUUAUCAAACGGGAUUGCUACGGAGAUACCCCUAUGGAAGUCCUGCUCCUAGCUGGAGUUUGUAAAUGUCUCACAUGGCACAUCUGACAUGUAUUUGUCUACAGGAGGGGUCACAUAAUGCUCCAUAAAGGAUCUCCGAUAUGUCAAAAGGAGCAUUAUCGGGGGUACCAUGGGAUUAGUUCAGAUAUUCCCUGUUCCAAUACUAGUAAGCAAGAAAAGACUUGCUCUCCCCAGAGAACUAAUUAUUCAGACCGGCAAGAAAAAGACCAGAAAGAGAAAGCGUUAUGGAGGAAGCAGCAGAGCUGUUUGAAGAGGCAAAUCAGCAUGUGAACAAGGCUUUUCUGAUACAUCUUUUAACAAAAAUGAACACAGUGGAACACCACAUCAAAGUAACUGUCCUGCUCCAUCAGCGUGAUUGAAACGGCACAAUCUGUGAUUUUUUUUUGUUUACUUUUGAAUGAAAUUCACACGUAACAAGAAAGCGUUUCUUCUCAGUCUGUUUACCCUGCACUUGACUCCUGAUUCAUACGUUCUACGUUUUGGGGAGGAGUGGCAUGUCCGGCUUUUGGGCGACAUUUGUAAUCGCUGUACCAAGUUUCUGCCGUAAUAACCAAGUGCUCGUUCCUCCUUGCCUCCUAUCAGCUCUGUGAUAACACUGUCAGUGCCCUCAGGAAUUGAAUUCCUGGUUGGGGGGGGGGGUAAGCGUUUUAGGGUCAUAGACACAACUACCAGAAUGGGAACUAAUUCUUCCUCUCUGUUUAUAGACACUGCGUCAUUUGAAGUCUGUUUCUCUAGUCAACAUGGCAAGAUAAGUAGGAGCUUGCUCGCCUUGGCAGCUGGAGAGCUGCCUCCUCCCAGCACCACACUGCUCUCACUGAUUCCCAAUUCACGGUUUUGUUCCUACUUUGCUCCCCUCCCCCAGUGUCUUAACUUGCCUUCAGGCCCCAGGCACUCCUUUAAGCCAAGUUUUCUGAAUUUUCUGUUCGAUUUCCUUUGCUGCCUGUUUACCUCCGCCUUCCUUGGGCUUUGCAGUGCCCUCCUCGGCCAACCUGCCCUCCCCAACUGUCCCUGCCCUCCCCAACUGUCCCUGCCCUCCCCAACUGUCCCUGCCCUCCCCAACUGUCCCUGCCCUCCCCAACUGUCACUCCCCAGCUGUCACCCCCCAACUGCCUCAGAAGGUUCUAGUGCUCCCCCUUCUCUCCUGGGGCAGUGCCGGCAGGGCUGCCUCUGGUGCCUGAAGCUGCCUGGAAACACAGCCACGUGUGUGACGUGGUCCCCCUGUGCCACUGGGGUGUUUCUGAGUCCCAGUGUCAGGUAGGACCUGGAAGAAUUUGUAGCAAGAAUCAACAGCCGAGACUUCAGUGAGAGCUGAUCAAAACCAGAAGUGAGAUUUUCAUUUCUAAGAAGGCACAAGGAGAAGUUAAACCCACGAUUUGCUAAGGCACCGAGCGGCGCCAUAGGACACUCCUGGAAAAUUCAUCUUAAGCUAUAUUUAGUACAUUCACAGAAAUUGUGGCUCCCACUUGAGCCAUUUCAGCUCAAAUAUAAAUAAAUAAAUAAAUAUUUAAGAGA